rnacentral:rRNA from 1 species
CCUACGGGUGGCAGCAGUGGGGAAUAUUGCACAAUGGGCGAAAGCCUGAUGCAGCAACGCCGCGUGAAGGAAGACGGUUUUCGGAUUGUAAACUUCUAUCAAUAGGGAAGAAAGAAAUGACGGUACCUAAAUAAGAAGCCCCGGCUAACUACGUGCCAGCAGCCGCGGUAAUACGUAGGGAGCGAGCGUUGUCCGGAAUUACUGGGUGUAAAGGGAGCGUAGGCGGGACUGCAAGUUGGGUGUCAAAUCUACCGGCUCAACCGGUAGCCGCACUCAAAACUGCAGUUCUUGAGUGAAGUAGAGGCAGGCGGAAUUCCUAGUGUAGCGGUGAAAUGCGUAGAUAUUAGGAGGAACACCAGUGGCGAAGGCGGCCUGCUGGGCUUUUACUGACGCUGAGGCUCGAAAGUGUGGGGAGCAAACAGGAUUAGAUACCCCUGUAGUC